CAGCCGCCACGGUAAGACGGAGGGUGCUAGCGUUGUUCGGAAUCACUGGGCGUAAAGGGCGCGUAGGCGGCCUGUUAAGUCGGAUGUGAAAGCCCGGGGCUCAACCCCGGAACUGCAUCCGAGACUGGCAGGCUUGAGACCGGGAGAGGAGGGUGGAAUAUCCAGUGUAGAGGUGAAAUUCGUAGAUAUUAAAUGGAACACCGGUGGCGAAAGCGGCUCUCUGGCCCGGAUCUGACGCUGAGGCGCGAAAGCGUGGGGAGCAAACAGGAUUAGAUACCCCGGUAGUCCCUGUCUCUUAUAC
rnacentral:rRNA from 1 species